rnacentral:lncRNA from 1 species
GAGGAAAUGGAGAAGGCCAGAUGGCACAGACUAAUUCAGGAUCAUCUAUUUCCAAAGCCUGGGCCUCACAUGACCACUACACCUAACUUCUUUGAGGAAUAUAGGAGGAUUGUAUGCCCUGGCCUCCCUGUGAUGGGGUUGAACUACAUGACAUGUUCUCCGAAUUAAGUGUGAGCAUAGCAUUUAAUUGUUGAUGCAAGACCUUCCAGAACUCUUUUUCUCUUUGCCAUGGCAAUCAUCAGUGUUCCAGAGAGCAUAUGCACGAUCAGCCUUGGUAUUGGAGGGAAGAUGAUGCGGAACAGAGUCCCAGUCACAUCAUGAAGGACAUGUAAAGUGAGAAGUAAACCUUGGUUGUUUUAAGCCAUUGAGAUUUGAGUUUUGUUACCAGAGCAGAUCUUUGUCAUCCUGGAUAAUGUGCCUGAGAAGAAGAGGUUUAAGGAAGAAAACUUGUGAACACCAAUGUGCUUGUUAGACUCCUUUGCUUGUAAGAAAGAGAAACUCAAGAGACUAAUGAAAAGAAGGAACAAGUGUUUAUAUGGGUAUAUGAGUAGCUAUUAGGAGCCCAGGCAUAAGCUACUCUCUUAUUUCUUUCUCAUUGUGUCUCUGCUCUUCUCUACCUCUUUAAUCUAUUCUCACACUACCAACUGGCUAAUUAAUCCACUUCUUAUCCUUUAGUCUGCAUUUCAGAAGAAUAUAAGCCAGUUCCAGAGCUCUUAGCUCUAAGUAGCUUCAUGGGCUGCCAGCCAACCUGGAAAUGAGCUACUCUUGGGUCAGGUGCCCAUCCUGCUCUAAACAGUGUCACUCCUACCUGAAACAUCAUUUAGCUUUCCUGGGCAUGGGACCUCUGGUACAGCAAUGCAAGCAGUAGUGGGAUAUUUCUAUUCUCGUCCCACUACAAUUUAUUUUUCACAGAAUUGUGAAAAUUAUGUUUUACAAUUGGACAUCAGAUGUGUCUUAAUCCAUAUCUACCAGCCCACUACAACCAGCCUAAAACUCUUAUAUUGCGUUAGGGAAAGACCCAACUCUCUGCCUGGCCUACAAAGCCCUUUAUGAUCUAGCCUCUGCCUGACAUUCCUACCUCACCUCCUGCCACCCUCCCUCUCACACGUUCCAGCCACCCAGGCCUCCUGUGUCUCCCUUGGAUGAGUCAAGCUGGUUUCCUCCUCAGGACAUUUGCAUUCUGCCCUUGCCAAUCUUUCUUGUUUGAACACUCUGCCCUUGGCUCUGAGAAAGCCUGGUUUCUUCAUUCUUAUUCGUUUUAAGCUCUCCUGUCAUCUCCUCAGAGAUGACUUCCCUGAUUACCCUCAUCUAAAGGACUGCCCUCUCUACAUCGGGUUACUGGUACCCCUUAUUUUCUUCAUAGCACUUAUCAUCACCUGAAAUUGCCUUGUUUAUUCCUUUACUUUCUGUCUUCCAUAAGCAGAAUGAAAUACCAUGAGAGUGAGUAUCUUUCCUGUCUUGUGAACCCCUGUACUCUGAUUCCCUAGAAUAGUCCCUGUCACACUAAAUAUUUUUUAAGUGAAGGAAAGGGAUGGUGGGCAGUGUGCUCAUGUGCUGGUUGUUCUCUGGUGUCGUCUAUCCAGGUUCAGUGUCUACCCUUCGCUGGCUUGCUGUGUGUCUCAGGAGGUUGACCUCUAGAGACGGUGUCACUCAGCCUCCACUGGGCUCUGGAUUUCCAGUUAGGCUUGACCAGUGAGAGGCACCAGCAGAAUAUUGGAGGGUAGUACAGGUGAGAAGUGGUCAGGGUAUUUAUCUCUUCCCGGUUGAGUUUCACUAUGGUUUUGGCAGUGGUUGAAUUUUGUGAACAAAGUUCUUAUUUACCAAGUUUCCAACUCUUUCCCAGCUCUAGUAAUGAUUUUCUGAUGCUUUGUCAUCCUUUUUAAUACUUCCUUGAUUAGACGCUAUUUACAGUUGCUUUUGUUGCCUGCAGGAACUCUCACUGACACAGCAGGGGCAGGUCAGAGGCUGACAAGCUCAGUACAGCUAACACUUGAGUUCAUAUAACUCACCCAUAGCCACACAGAGAAAGUGGUGGAAGCAGAUUUCAAAUUUAAACUCAGGGAGUGUGAGGAGAUCUGCAGAAACUGUUAUAUUAGAAGUCCAAGGAAGAGAGAAUGUUAAGAUGUUAAGAUGGAAAGAUGGAAUGUUAAGGUGGUUUGUCAAGUGCAGUUGGAGUCCCUUUUUCUUCUGGGUUUGGUGGCCUGCUGCACCUUUGCCUUUCUCUGACUCUCAUUAAAAUUGUUAAUUAAGGGAGAUUUUAGAGUCCUAGGCUCAAAAUUAAAAUUUGGUUUAUUUUGUAAUACGGCUCCAGAAGCCUUUAAUUCUCUAUUUAAUUUUAUUUCUAAAAGAAAAAGAUUGGGCACUACUGACCUAGAUAAAGACCCAAGAUGAGAGAAGGACCAAUGAGUGUCCCUUAGAUAUUUCUUUUAAAGGUAGCCACUAGGGCCUUAGGGAAAGUACUUUCAGGAACAGACAAAUUGCACCAGUUUGAGAGUGAAUGAAAGGUAACUAUGAAAGAGUGAGUUUAGAUAGCACUUUUAAUAAUUUUGGAUGGAAAGGAAGAAAAAGGUGAUAGCUAGAAGGUAAUACAGGGUGAGGAAGAUGGGGACAUUCUAACUGAAGGAUUCCAGUGUGUUUAUAGAUUGAGGUAAAGAAGGCUGGAGAGAAGAGGGCAUUAAGGCACAGAAGAGAGGAAAUAUAAUGAAGCCAGGUUGUAAAGGAGAUGAAAGAGAAUGUGGUUAAGAUAUUAGGGGAAGGAUUAGAUGCAGGGGAGACAGUGCUUCCUUUGAGAUUCAAAGGAAAGAUGUAGAGAUGAAUGCAAAUUUGCCACUGCCUAUUUCUAAUCGUAAUAGAUUCUGUCAUUUCAGGAUUUAUUUUAAUGUAGUUGGGGACUGGCAGGUAGUUUUUCUCUCCCCUUUGAUAGCCUGGGGCUUCAUUUCUGACUUUUCCUGAUCAAAAAUAAGAACUGAUCUAUCUUCUCAGCUCUUCAGGUGUCAAUUAUACAAUAAGCAAAUUUUUCCAGGCUCCCUGUUAUACACUUGCCACUACACUUCUGACUUAGAUGUGGUACUUUGUUAGUAUCUGUGAGGACUGAAAAUGAGAUCGAAGAGAAAAAUCCAAUCAAGCAUUAAGUAAUCAUAUUUAAAUGGAAAAUGGGAAGAUACUAUUAACGAAUUCAAUGGUACAUCACUCUCUAAACUCUAAAUUUGCUAUUUUAUAAUUAUGAAUUUCUGUGUACUGUACAAUAUUAGCUUCAGUUAAUUUUAAGUGCACCCAUAACAUUAAAUGUGUUUUGAUAUGUGGUUGUUGAAGCUACCUGUUAAAAUUAGUUUGCUGUGAUUUAUUGUUAUUCAUACAAAUGGUUUAUCAAAUGCAAUUGGAGUCCCCUUUUCUUCUGGGUUCGGUGGCCUGCUGUGUUUUUGCCUUUCUCUGACUCCCAUUAAAAUCUUUAAUUAAGGGAGAUUUUAGAGUUCUGGGCUCAAAAUUAGAAUUUGGUUUAUUUUAUAACAGGGCUCCAGAAGGCUUGAAUUAUUUAUUUUAUUUUAUUUUUUAUUUUUGAGACAGGGUCUUGCUCUGUCACCCUGGCUGGAAUGCAGUGGAGUGUGCAUGGCUCACUGCAGCCUCCACCUCCUGGCUUAAGUUAUCCUCCCACCUCAGCCUCCUGAGUGGCUGGGACUACAGGCAUAUGCCACCCCACCUGGCUAAUUUUUGUAUUUUUUAUACAGAUGGUGUUUUGCCAUGUUGCCCAGGCUUCUUUAGAACUCCUGGGCUCAAGUGAUACACCUGCCUUGACCUCCCAAAGUGCUGAGUUUACAGGUGUGAGCCACUGUGGCUAACCAGAAGCUUUGAAUUCUUCAUGAAAUUCUGAACCACAUAAACACAUAAGCCAGGCAUCCCUCAGUGAAUAACUCCUGCAGCAAAAGGAAAUGAAAUUAUAAGUGCAUUGCAUCAAAUGGUGGCCUCAGGAGAACAAGGCUGUUCUUCAAUAGGCUCUUCAGCUAGCAAGGCAAAUAGUUUGUAGAUCCUUUUUGGUGCAUUUUACAGAAGACAAGUGCCUUUUUUUCAGACUUGCUUAAGAUCUGUAAUUUAAAUAAGUACAUUUGGACCCUGUAUGAAAUUGCUCUUUACUGUUAACAACUAAUUCUUCCUGAAUGAGGAGUAUUCAGCUUAUUUGUUCAGGAAGAGUAUAUUGAGGGUAUAUACUUUGCUAGACUCUUCUGAGAAUAUAAAGAUGAAUUAAAGGCAUUUCCUACCUUCAGGGAGUACAAUCCAAUUGUGAAGAAAAGAACAAUAACUCCAUUACAAAGCCUGUGUGGUGCGUGCAUCAGAGUGGUGUUGAAAGGUUUAGGAUGGCAAGGGAAAGCACAAUGACUCCAGAUGGGGUGGCCGUUUCCAAAUAGUGCUCCUAGUUCUGUUCCUUGGAUGUGUUAACUAGACACUUGAAACUGAAGGUGUCCUUGAUACUCUGAGCUAAUGGUGAAAAUAACCAAUCUUGGACAACUCUCCCAUGCAAGGUUACAGUUGUAGUGGGAAAUGCUGCAAUCUCAUCCAUGCUUGAUCUGCCAUCCUCAUAUUUACACACCCGCCCAUGCUUCACCAAGUACGCACCGCCCUGAGGAGUCUCUCCAGUCUCCCUCUCACACUGCUCCUCACUACAUAUUUGACCCAAAGAAGUGAGUCUUGGUGGAGGCAACAUAUAAGGAUUAGCAGAGAAAGGGGAAUCACCAACUCGUAUUAGCUAAGUAAUUGUUUAGCUAAUUACCACUCCCAGUCAGAAAAUGAAAAAUUAUAGGUUGACUCUGCAGAUGUGACUUCCAGUCCAGAAGACUCAGAAGAUUUGGUGUUUCCAGUUUCCAUUAAUUUCAAUUUCAUGGGAAAUAGUAUUUCAGGAUUCCAAAAAGAAAACUGUUGUUCAUUUAUAAAGGUGAACAAAAAUGCCAAAUCUUACUGUUAUUAUACUUACGUUACCAUACAAGUUGAUAUACACACAAAGUACUUCUCAGUCUAGCCACUAUGCUAAUUAACACCGUAUAGCAUACUAAGGAGAAAAACUAAUAUAAACUAUCCACCUUAAAUUUUUGUUUAAAAAUGUAAGUAAAAGGAAAAUUCAGAAUAUUCUACUGCCAAUGAACCUUUGUUUACUAGUAUAGAAAAUAUGAUUAGAAACUUAUAUUGAU